AGUCUCACUUAGCAGUGUGACAACAACUUUUUCAUGUUGCGGUGAGUACAAUUGUGAGGUUGAAAAGUAAAUUUAUUCAUUUUUAAGCAGGUCUACCAUGAGUAGACCCACAAAAAAGGCUUAAAAAGCCAUGCUCGAAAAGACACAGUCUGCCAUUUUGGUUUGCACCACUUGGCCAUUUUGAGGUAGAUUUUUAGUCAUUUGUAAGGGUCGUUCAAAAACAAACAAGCCACCAUUGCUUUGGUCGGGCACCCGAAAAGAAUCUGAUUCAGCCCCGAAAGUCACGAUCACUCAGCAACGUGACAUUUUGGUGGGCAUGUCUGUCAUGAAUAGACCCACAAAAAUGUCUCGUAGCCAUGCCUCAAAAGACACAGAAAGUCAUCCAUUUUUGUUUUUAAGUUGCCAUUUUAGGGUAAUUUCCAGGGGUCCGAGACAUUUUGUCUCAUACGACAUGUGAAUACGUAAACUCGUGACAUGGGCAACACUAAAUUGCAAUUGAGUUUUUGUCAUUGUGUGUCAGCGAAAUUUUAUCACGAUGAAGAGUGCAACCUGGAAUUUUUGUAAGAUUCAGCCCCUUGAGUCAUUUUCAUUUCGCAGCAUGAAUU